rnacentral:rRNA from 1 species
CCUACGGGAGGCUGCAGUGAGGAAUAUUGGUCAAUGGGCGCGAGCCUGAACCAGCCAAGUCGCGUGAGGGAUGAAGGUUCUAUGGAUCGUAAACCUCUUUUAUAAGGGAAUAAAGUGUGGGACGUGUCCUAUUUUGUAUGUACCUUAUGAAUAAGGAUCGGCUAACUCCGUGCCAGCAGCCGCGGUAAUACGGAGGAUCCGAGCGUUAUCCGGAUUUAUUGGGUUUAAAGGGUGCGUAGGUGGCCUGUUAAGUCAGCGGUGAAAGUCUGUGGCUCAACCAUAGAAUUGCAGUUGAAACUGGCGGGCUUGAGUAUGUUUGAGGCAGGCGGAAGGCGUGGUGUAGCGGUGAAAUGCUUAGAUAUCACGAAGAACCCCGAUUGCGAAGGCAGCUCGCUAAGCCAUGACUGACGCUGAGGCACGAAAGUGUGGGGAUCAAACAGGAUUAGAUACCCGUGUAGUC